rnacentral:rRNA from 1 species
AUUUGAAAUCUAGGCUCCCUCGGGGGGUCCGAGUUGUAAUUUGCAGAGGAUGCUUUGGGUGCGGCCGCGGCGCAAGUCCCUUGGAACAGGGCGUCGCAGAGGGUGAGAACCCCGUCUUGAGUCGCCGGCACGCGCCCGUGCAAAGCUCCUUCGACGAGUCGAGUUGUUUGGGAAUGCAGCUCUAAAUGGGUGGUAAAUUUCAUCUAAAGCUAAAUACUGGCCGGAGACCGAUAGCGCACAAGUAGAGUGAUCGAAAGGUUAAAAGCACCUUGAAAAGGGAGUUAAACAGCACGUGAAAUUGUUGAAAGGGAAGCGCUGGCGACCAGACUCGGGUGCGGGGGUUCAGCGGGCGUGAUCGCCCGUGCACUCCCCCGCGCUCCGGGCCAGCAUCGGUCUUGGCGGUCGGUCAAAGGCCCCCGGAAUGUGUCGUCCUCCGGGACGUCUUAUAGCCGGGGGUGCAAUGCGGCCAGCCGGGACCGAGGAACGCGCCUCGGCACGGAUGCUGGCGUAAUGGUCGUCAGCGACCCGUCUUGAAACACGGACCAAGGAGUCUAACAUCCACGCGAGUGUUCGGGUGUCAAACCCGUGCGCGCAGUGAAAGCGAACGGAGGUGGGAGCCCGCAAGGGUGCACCAUCGACCGAUCCUGAAGUCUUCGGAUGGAUUUGAGUAGGAGCGUGGCUGUUGGGACCCGAAAGAUGGUGAACUAUGCCUGAAUAGGGUGAAGCCAGAGGAAACUCUGGUGGAGGCUCGCAGCGGUUCUGACGUGCAAAUCGAUCGUCAAAUUUGGGUAUAGGGGCGAAAGACUAAUCGAACCAUCUGGUAGCUGGUUCCUGCCGAAGUUUCCCUCAGGAUAGCAGUAACGUUUUCAGUUUUAUGAGGUAAAGCGAAUGAUUAGAGGGAUUGGGGUUGAAACAACCUUAACCUAUUCUCAAACUUUAAAUAUGUAAGAAGCCCUUGUUGCUUUGGUGAACGUGGGCAUUAGAAUGGAUCGUUACUAGUGGGCCAUUUUUGGUAAGCAGAACUGGCGAUGCGGGAUGAACCGAACGCGAGGUUAAGGUGCCGGAAUGCACGCUCAUCAGACACCACAAAAGGUGUUAGUUCAUCUAGACAGCCCGACGGUGGCCAUGGAAGUCGGAAUCCGCUAAGGAGUGUGUAACAACUCACGGGCCGAAUGAACUAGCCCUGAAAAUGGAUGGCGCUCAAGCGUGCUACCCAUACCUCGCCGUCGGGGCAGAAUCGACGCCCC